rnacentral:misc_RNA from 1 species
GAUGAAGAACGUAGCGAAAUGCGAUAAGUAAUGUGAAUUGCAGAAUUCAGUGAAUCAUCGAAUCUUUGAACGCACAUUGCGCCCGCCAGUAUUCUGGCGGACAUGCCUGUUCGAGCGUCAUUUCAACCCUCAAGCCCCCGGGCUUGGUGUUGGGGAUCGGCGUGCCCUCGCGGCGCGCCGUCCCCUAAAUCUAGUGGCGGUCUCGCUGUAGCUUCCUCUGCGUAGUAGCAACACUCGCACUGGAUCNCAGCGCGGCCACGCCGUUAAACCCCCCACUUCUGAAAGUUUGACCUCGGAUCAGGUAGGAAUACCCGCUGAACUUAAGCAUAUCAAUAAGCGGAGGA